rnacentral:rRNA from 1 species
CUGGCGGCAGGCCUAACACAUGCAAGUCGAUCGGCAGCGGGAAAGUAGCUUGCUACUUUUGCCGGCGAGCGGCGGACGGGUGAGUAAUGCCUGGGAAAUUGCCCAGUCGAGGGGGAUAACAGUUGGAAACGACUGCUAAUACCGCAUACGCCCUACGGGGGAAAGCAGGGGACCUUCGGGCCUUGCGCGAUUGGAUAUGCCCAGGUGGGAUUAGCUUGUUGGUGAGGUAAUGGCUCACCAAGGCGACGAUCCCUAGCUGGUCUGAGAGGAUGAUCAGCCACACUGGAACUGAGACACGGUCCACACUCCUACGGGAGGCAGCAGUGGGGAAUAUUGCACAAUGGGGGAA